CGUGACCUUCCUUCCUCCCCCGAUAGGAAUCGGUGACGAGGAUUAAGCCUCACGAGAGGCUGGAUUCAGAGUUCAACGACAUCUGCGAGGGAAAGGGCGAUUUGUUCAUCAGAAGAUGGGAUGCCAUCAUCAUUCCACAUCUGAUCGAUGUUGCGCUUAAGGAGAAAAGUGAAAUUGCUGCCCUCGUUCAGGGAGUGAGACAGACCUUACAGAUGAUGAGAAGACCUACAAGAUGUUGGUUGUACUAACUCGUCUUCUGCCUCCAGUCGCUGCAGUGUCAAGUCGGCAAUCACCCAUCUUAUUGAUUUUGUACCCACUGGAACUAACAUCUCAACACUCUGUGAUGCCACUGAGUCUGAGGGCAAAGCACUCCAGCCGCAUCUCGUUUCUGUUGGUCGCUUCGAGGAUGCAGCACAGCAGUACGUCAUCGUUGGGAAGAGUGACAAAGUCAUCAUUCCACUGGACGAAGAUCUCACUGGUGCUGUGGACAAACUGUUCAAGGUCUUCUGGGUCUGCAACCUUUCAUAUCCACCUGAACUCUCCUCAGUUUUUGCAUUCUUGGAGUAUGUCUACAAUAUCCCUCUCUCCACAACCAGGAAGGCGCGGGUAAUGGACCUAAUUUCCAAAAUGAACUCAGUUCAGUAAUCAGAACAGCAAUGUAUAUUUGUCCAAAAUGCAAUAUGUACUUCAAGCAGAGUAAGAUUCUGAUUUGGC